rnacentral:rRNA from 1 species
AAAAGGCGUUUGAGUCGCGUGUCCUGGACCCGAAGCGGGAUGAUCUAGCCCUGAGCAGGUUGAAGCGCGGGUAAGACCGCGUGGAGGACCGAACCCACCUGGGUUGAAAACCGGGGGGAUGACUUGGGGCUAGGGGUGAAAGGCCAAUCAAAUUCCGUGAUAGCUGGUUCUCUCCGAAAUGCAUUUGGGUGCAGCGUCGGGUCAUUACGUCCCGGGGGUAGAGCUACUGGAUGCUUGCGGGCCCGUAUCGGGUACCAACAGCAACCAAACUCCGAAUACCGGUGACGCGUAUCCCGGCAGUGAGUCGGCGGGGGAUAAGCUUCGUCGUCGAAAGGGAAACAGCCCAGACCGUCGUCUAAGGUCCCGAAGCGUGUGCUAAGUGGGAAAGGAUGUGGAGUCGCAUAGACAGCCAGGAGGUUGGCUCAGAAGCAGCCACCCUUGAAAGAGUGCGUAACAGCUCACUGGUCUAGUGGUUCCGCGCCGACAAUGUAGCGGGGCUCAAGCACGCCACCGAAGACGCGGCAGUAUUUUGUACUGGGUAGGAGAGCGUCCCAUGAGGGGCGAAGCGGCCGUGUGAACGCGCCGUGGACUUCAUGGGAGUGAGAAUGCAGACAUGAGUAGCGAGAGACGGGUGAAGAUCCCGUCCGCUGGAUGACCAAGGGUUCCAGGGCCACGUUCAUCGUCCCUGGGUGAGUCGGGUCCUAAGGCGAGGCCGACAGGCGUAGUCGAAUGGAUGAACGGGUCGAUAUUCCCGUACCGGCUUUCAGCCGCCAAAACCGAGGCUUGGAGUACUAACCUCCGGGUCCGGGCUUACUGCUCCUUCGGGGGCGGGAUGCCCUGGCCUGUUGGGACCGAUCCUUGUAGUAGGUCAGCGCAGGAGUGACGCAGAAGGGUAGCCGGCCGCGGAGGUGGUCUUCCGUGGUCAAGCACGCAGGGCGUGGGACAGGCAAAUCCGUCCCGCAUGGGUCCGAGGUGCGAUGAUGGGGGCCUUAUGGCCCGAUAUCCGGUGAUCCCGGCUGCCGAGAAAAGCUUCGGCGUCAGGCUCAAAGCCGCCCGUACCCCAAACCGACACUGGUGGUCAGGUAGAGAAUACCAAAGCGAUCGAGCGAAUCCUGGUCAAGGAACUCGGCAAAUCACUCCCGUUCCUUCGGUUUAAGGGAGACCCCCGAUGGUGAACACACUUGCUGUGGGAGCUUUUGGGGGUGGCACAGACCAGGGGGUAGCGACUGUUUACCAAAAACACAGGUGCAUGCGAAGGCGCAAGCCGCUGUAUAUGCACUGACGCCUGCCCGGUGCCGGAAGGUUAAGAGGAUCCGUCAGCCUUCGGGUGAAGCGGUGAAUUCAAGCCCCGGUAAACGGCGGUGGUAACUAUAACCAUCCUAAGGUAGCGAAAUUCCUUGUCGGGUAAGUUCCGACCUGCACGAAUGGCGUAACGACUUCCCCACUGUCUCGACCAGGAGCUCGGCGAAAUUGCAGUACGAGUAAAGAUGCUCGUUAAGCGCAGAAGGACGAAAAGACCCCGGGACCUUUACUAUACCUUGGUAUUGGCAUUCGGUGUGGAUUGUGUAGCAUAGGCGGGAGGCCGAGAGGCGCGGUCGCCAGAUCGCGCGGAGCCGUAAGGUGAAAUACCGCUCUGUUCGCAUUGGAUGUCUAACCUCGAACAGUCAUCCUGUUCAGGGACAGUGCCUGGCGGGUAGUUUAACUGGGGCGGUUGCCUCCCAAAGAGGAACGGAGGCGCCCAAAGGUCCGCUCAGCCCGGUUGGCAAUCGGGUGGCGAGUGCAAGUGCACAAGCGGGCUUGACUGCGAGGACGACGGUCCGAGCAGGGACGAAAGUCGGGACUAGUGAUCCGGUGCCGGUGUACGGACGCGGCAUCGCUCAACGGAUAAAAGGUACCCCGGGGAUAACAGGCUGAUCAUUCC